rnacentral:rRNA from 1 species
UACGAAGGGGGCUAGCGUUGUUCGGAAUUACUGGGCGUAAAGCGCACGUAGGCGGAUCGAUCAGUCAGGGGUGAAAUCCCAGAGCUCAACUCUGGAACUGCCUUUGAUACUGUCGGUCUAGAGUAUGGAAGAGGUGAGUGGAAUUCCGAGUGUAGAGGUGAAAUUCGUAGAUAUUCGGAGGAACACCAGUGGCGAAGGCGGCUCACUGGUCCAUUACUGACGCUGAGGUGCGAAAAGCGUGGGGAGCAAAC